rnacentral:lncRNA from 1 species
AUGUCAGGGUCUAAAGCAAACCUGGCUUUCAUCCACGUUUGGGGAAGACCAUCCAUUCCCUUGUUGUCAUGUUUUCUAGUGCAGGAACCUCUUGCCUCUAAUCCUGAUCCUUACUCUCUUCAGAGGGAUGGACCGAGUUACUGGAUCGAAAAGAGGCUGACAUAUGCUGGUUCACAUUUGGAGGAACCAAUCUUUCAAAAGCCCGUUACUCUCCUUCCCUCUACCUGGGACAGGUGCCAGGCUGCCAUCCUGGGUGCACACCAUGCCCUCCAGAAGAUCAGAGAGUGUCCUUGCGUACAGUGCUCUCGGAAAGGUGAGCAUUUUUAUUUUUUGGAAGUGCUUCAUCUCAUGGUCCAGAGAACUAAAUUGGGUCAUAAGCUCAUGGGACAGUGCUAUGGACUGAGUAGUUCAGGCAAUCAUAAUGACAAAGGAUUUGUGAUUGUCCUGGUUGGCUUAGACCAAAAAGAACUCGCUCUUGGAGCACUCCUAUCACACGUGCUACACCGUGGGGUGUGGGUAAGGGGUGGACGUUGCGGACAUUACCACACAGUCCACCCCAUUCUCCCUAGCACUGCCGCCAUCUUUGGCAAGGAGUUACUCAGCGUUCCGUCUCGUGGGUGGAAAGCACAUCACUGCUGGGACAGCCCACGCUGUGGUAGGUCAGCUGCAACACGGUCCCUUCUCGUGCGGAGUAUGGCUGCCUCAACCUUCUCGCAUCUCUACCUUCUGGACCGUCAGAGAACAAAGCCAGCUCCCCAUUUUCACUGGCCCUUCUUUCUUCUGAGCAGAGGAGCCGGGGAGACACUGAUUUUUCAGGGACUAGGAGGAAAACGAGUUAACUGUCCUUCCUUCCACGCUUUUAUCAGGGUUCUGCCUGAAGAAGGCAACUCUCGGGGCUGUGUCUUACACCAGCACCCGUGGCAAAGGAGGCAUAGUAAUGAGACCCUAAAGGAGGAGGGGGGAGAUCUUGAAGAUGCUUGCCUUGGGGUGAUCCUGUGGGUUCCUCAAGCAGUAGCCCUGCUUCUGGCAUGCCUUGUCCAUGUCUAUGGAUGGGAUGCAGUUCCUCUCCCAGGGCCAGUUUGGGGAGCACGGAAUGUGGUUCAUGCAGAGACUACAAUUACUCCUGAUGGUCACGUUUCACCUGGUCUUGUGGGUGCCACACAGACAGGUCUUUGUAAUAUUCUCGCCACUACGAUUUCAGCAAUAGAAUAA